rnacentral:rRNA from 1 species
UUAAGCAUAUUAAUAAGCGGAGGAAGAGAAACCAACCGGGAUUUCCCCAGUAACGGCGAGCGAAGCGGGAAGAGUUCGAGCAUCCAAUCUCCGGCGACGUCGUCGGCGAAUUGUGGCCGCCAGAGGUAUCCGUCGUCGCGUCUACCCUGCUCCGAAGUUGACCUGGAACGGCACGUCAGAGAGGGUGAGAGUCCCGUACUCGGACUGGGAUGGCACGGCUUUGGCAGCCUUCGCAGAGUCGGGUUGUUUGGGACUGCAGCCCAAAGUUGGUGGUAAACUCCAUCUAAAGCUAAAUACUGGCACGAGACCGAUAGCGAACAAGUACCGUGAGGGAAAGGUGAAAAGCACUUUGAAAAGAGAGUCCAAGAGACCGCGAAACCGUUGGGAGGGAAGCGAAUGCGAGCGUGUCUGCUCCGUGUGGGUUCAGGGAGGUGGUGCGUGUGCAGUCUUCGUUGGCGGCUCGUCCGCAUCUUAGUAGGCAGCGCGAGUACCAUCCCACAUUCCCACUCCGGAGCUCCCAGCGUCAGUUGUAUCCACUGCUGCCGGCCUCGAGGCAGGUGACCGUCGUCGGCCCUCUGGCAGCGACGGAGCUUAUAGUCGUGGUUGGCACGCGUGGAGGCAACCGAGGAGAGCGCGACGCUUCGUGCAGCAGCGUGGGCCUCUCCCAUCGCGGGAGAGGCCGGGUCGCUCCUGGUAGAGUGGGCUGGCGGGCAAGGGACUGCUCGACAGUGUCUUGCGACGUCACGUCUGCCCGUUUGGGAGGUCGACAACGCCCCACGCUGCAGUCGCUGGGGUCACUGGCGGUCGCAUCCGACCCGUCUU